AGCGAAAUGCGAUAAGUGGUGUGAAUUGCAGAAUCCCGUGAACCAUCGAGUCUUUGAACGCAAGUUGCGCCCGAUGCCAUCAGGCUAAGGGCACGCCUGCCUGGGCGUCGUGUGCUGCGUCUCUCCUGUCAAUGCUUUCGUAUCAUAUAGAUAGGUUUGCAUUGCGU
rnacentral:rRNA from 9 species